rnacentral:rRNA from 1 species
CCAGACUCCUACGGGAGGCAGCAGUGAGGAAUAUUGGUCAAUGGGCGGAAGCCUGAACCAGCCAAGUCGCGUGAGGGAAGAAGGCCCUGCGGGUCGCAGACCUCUUUGGACGGGGAGCAAGGCCCGCCACGUGUGGCGGGAAGGAGAGUACCCGAAGAAAAAGCAUCGGCUAACUCCGUGCCAGCAGCCGCGGUAAUACGGAGGAUGCGAGCGUUAUCCGGAUUUAUUGGGUUUAAAGGGUGCGUAGGCGGGCUGUUACGUCGGGGGUAAAAGCCCGGGGCUCACCCCCGGCGAGCCGUUGAAACUGGCUGUCUUGAGAUGUCGAGAGGUAUGCGGAAUGCGCAGUGUAGCGGUGAAAUGCUUAGAUAUUGCGCAGAACUCCGAUUGCGAAGGCAGCAUACCGGCGGCGAUCUGACGCUGAGGCACGAAAGCGUGGGUAUCGAACAGGAUUAGAUACCCGGGUAC